rnacentral:rRNA from 1 species
CGGACGGGUGAGGAAUACAUCGGAAUCUACUCUGUCGUGGGGGAUAACGUAGGGAAACUUACGCUAAUACCGCAUACGACCUACGGGUGAAAGCAGGGGAUCUUCGGACCUUGCGCGAUUGAAUGAGCCGAUGUCGGAUUAGCUAGUUGGCGGGGUAAAGGCCCACCAAGGCGACGAUCCGUAGCUGGUCUGAGAGGAUGAUCAGCCACACUGGAACUGAGACACGGUCCAGACUCCUACUGGAGGCAGCAGAC